rnacentral:rRNA from 1 species
UACAGAGGUCCCAAGCGUUGUUCGGAUUCACUGGGCGUAAAGGGUGCGCAGGCGGUCGGGUAAGUCUGACGUGAAAUCCCGCAGCUUAACUGCGGAAUGGCAUUGGAUACUAUUCGGCUAGAGGGUUGGAGGGGGGACUGGAAUUCUCGGUGUAGCAGUGAAAUGCGUAGAUAUCGAGAGGAACACCAGUGGCGAAGGCGAGUCCCUGGACAGCUCCUGACGCUGAGGCACGAAAGCUAGGGGAGCAAACAGG